rnacentral:rRNA from 1 species
AUCCGCAACAAUUUAGGCGAUACUUACUCACGAAUGGCGCUGAGCUAAUUAUACUUACAUAUUAGUUUAUAAAUUAUAUGUGGCAACAUGUAAAGAUUAGGUGUAGUUAGGGGUGAUAGGCUUAUCAACGUGUCGGAUAUCUUGAUCUAUAGAAAAAAUAUUAAGUAUUAAGACAGCUUAGAAAUGGUUAGGUUUCUAUGUGUCAUUAAGGUGAUUAAGAGAGCUACAGUUUAUUUAAUAAUUGCUGGAUUUGUUUCUCAAUAACAAUAUAUCUAGGUUUUAUGGGACAUACUAUAGGAUUUUCUUGAUUUGACAAGUAACUAUUUAAUGGAGGUAUUAGUAUUAUAUAAAAUUACGGAAAGGAACUCGGCAAAAUUUUAGCUCAACUGUUUAACAAAAACAUAGCUAGACGGUGUUAUGUUUGGUUUUUUCUGCUCAAUGGUUAUCUAAAUAGCCGCAGUA